ACGGGAGGCAGCAGUGGGGAAUAUUGCACAAUGGGGGAAACCCUGAUGCAGCGACGCCGCGUGAGCGAUUGAAGUAUUUCGGUAUGUAAAGCUCUAUCAGCAGGGAAGAAAAUGACGGUACCUGACUAAGAAGCCCCGGCUAACUACGUGCCAGCAGCCGCGGUAAUACGUAGGGGGCAAGCGUUAUCCGGAUUUACUGGGUGUAAAGGGGGCGUAGACGGCGAUGCAAGUCUGAUGUGAAAGCCCGGGGCUCAACCCCGGCACUGCAUUGGAAACUGUGUUGCUAGAGUGCAGGAGAGGUAAGUGGAAUUCCUAGUGUAGCGGUGAAAUGCGUAGAUAUUAGGAGGAACACCAGAGGCGAAGGCGGCUUACUGGACUGUAACUGACGUUGAGGCUCGAAAGCGUGGGGAGCAAACAGGAUUAGAUACCCUGGUA
rnacentral:rRNA from 1 species